GAAUAUUAUGAUCAAGUAUCAAUCUUGGCAUAGAAACUAUACUAAAAUCUGAAUAUUUUUUACCAUCACUAAAAAGGAAAAACCAAAAUAAAAUCGCUGAUAAAUGACAUUCCAGUAAAAAAAAAAUCAAAAAAAAAAAUCGCUGAUUAUAUAUUACCAAAAAAGAUGUAAAAUCAACUUCAAUCUACAAAACGGAACCGUAAAAAUAGAUUCUGUUAAUAGAAAGCUACAUAUAUCUAUCAAACUGAAUUUAGUGGAUAAAUUAACAAAAACUCCAGGUUUUGAUAUUUUGCUUCCAGAUCCAAAUUAACUUUCAAAUCCCUCUAUCGACAACUCUAUUACAGCACAUUUUUAUUGUUUGUUUUUUUUCAGAAGUAACUUCUCUAUACAUGAAAAAGUUGGUUUGGCAUUCUUUUGGUACUCUUUAAGGUAUUUUUUGUUUAGAGUAAAACUUAGACAAGAACUCUCUAUUAACGACCGAGCGAGAGAGAGAGAGAUGAAGACCAACGUGUC
rnacentral:lncRNA from 1 species